AGUCGAGCGAACAUAUUAGCGGAAGUUUUCGGAUGGAAGCGGAUAUGACUUAGCGGCGGACGGGUGAGUAACGCGUGGAUAACCUGCCUCAUACAGGGGGAUAACAGUUAGAAAUGACUGCUAAUACCGCAUAAGCGCACAGGACCGCAUGGUCCGGUGUGAAAAAUUCCGGUGGUAUGGGAUGGAUCCGCGUCUGAUUAGCUGGUUGGUGAGGUAACGGCCCACCAAGGCGACGAUCAGUAGCCGACCUGAGAGGGUGGCCGGCCACAUUGGGACUGAGACACGGCCCAAACUCCUACGGGAGGCAGCAGUGGGGAAUAUUGCACAAUGGGGGAAACCCUGAUGCAGCAACGCCGCGUGAGUGAAGAAGUAUUUCGGUAUGUAAAGCUCUAUCAGCAGGGAAGAAGAAAGACGGUACCUGACUAAGAAGCCCCGGCUAACUACGUGCCAGCAGCCGCGGUAAUACGUAGGGGGCAAGCGUUAUCCGGAUUUACUGGGUGUAAAGGGAGCGUAGACGGCUGUGCAAGUCUGAAGUGAAAGCCCGUGGCUCAACCGCGGAACUGCUUUGGAAACUGUAUAGCUUGAGUACUGGAGAGGCAGGCGGAAUUCCUAGUGCAGCGGUGAAAUGCGUAGAUAUUAGGAGGAACACCAGUGGCGAAGGCGGCCUGCUGGACAGAAACUGACGUUGAGGCUCGAAAGCGUGGGGAGCAAACAGGAUUAGAUACCCUGGUAGUCCACGCGGUAAACGAUGAAUGCU
rnacentral:rRNA from 1 species